UACGUAGGGGGCAAGCGUUGUCCGGAAUCAUUGGGCGUAAAGCGCGUGUAGGCGGUUCGGUAAGUCGGCUGUGAAAGUCCAGGGCUCAACCCUGGGAUGCCGGUCGAUACUGCCGGACUAGAGUUCGGAAGAGGCGAGUGGAAUUCCCGGUGUAGCGGUGAAAUGCGCAGAUAUCGGGAGGAACACCAAUGGCGAAGGCAGCUCGCUGGGACGUUACUGACGCUGAGACGCGAAAGCCAGGGGAGCAA
rnacentral:rRNA from 1 species